UAGUCAUCUCCAAGAGACAGGGGUUUGAUUUCUUCUGCAUGCCUGUCUUCCACCCGCGUUUCAAGAGGGGGUUCACUCAGGAACCUGCUAAGAAUCAGUCCAGCCCCCAGACACAAUCAGACCUACUGCUGUCAGGAAGGGACUGGAAUAUGCUAAUUGUGGGAAAGCUUUCUCCAUGGAUUCGUCCAGAUUCAAAAGUGGAAAAGAUCCGCAGGAACUCUGAGGUGGCCAUGUUGCAGGAACUGAAUUUUGGUGCAUAUCUGGGUCUUCCAGCUUUCCUGCUGCCCCUUAAUCAAGAAGAUAAGGUUCUGACCAACCUGGUCAGAAUUUUGACCAAUCACAUGCACGCUGGCCACCACUCCUCCAUGUUCUGGAUGCAGGUACCCUUGGUGGCACCAGAAGACCUGAGAGAUGAUAUAAUUGAGAAUGCACCAACUACACACACAGGAGUACAGGGGACAGGGGAAGACAUGGAUGUGGUGGCAUAACUUCCCGACUUUGUGCAACUAUAGCAAGAGAAUUGCAGUGGCUCUUGAAAUUGGGGCUGACCUCCCAUCUAAUCGUGUCAUUGAUCGUUGGCUUGGGGAGCCCAUCAAAGCAGCCGUUCUUCCUACCAGCAGUUUCUGACCAAUAAGAAGGGAUUUCCUGUUCUGUCUAAAAUGCACCAGAGGCUUAUCUUCCGGCUCCUCAAGUUGGAGGUGCAGUUUAUCAUCACGGGCACCAGCCACCACUCAGAGAAGGAGUUCUGCUCCUACCUCCAGUACUUAGAAUACUUAAGCCAGAACAGUCUUCCACCCAAUGCUUAUGAACUCUUUGCCAAGGGCUAUGAAGACUAUCUGCAGUCUCCACUCCAGCCACUGAUGGACAAUCUGGAAUCUCAGACAUAGGAAGUGUUUAAAAAAGACCCCAUCAAAUACUCUCAGUAUCAGCAGUCCAUCUAUCAAUGUCUGCUAGACCGAGUACCAGAAGAGGGAAAGGACACCAAUGUCCAGGUACUAAUGGUGCUGGGAGCAGGUCGGGGUCCCCUUGUGAAUGCUUCCCUGCAGGCAGCCAAGCAGGCUGACGGGCAGACAAAGCUGUACGCUGUGGAAAAGAACCCAAAUGUUGUGGUGACGCUAGAGAAUUGGCAGUAUGAAGAAUGGGGAAGCCAAGUGACAGCAGUCUCAUCAGACAUGAGGGAAUGGGUGACUCCAGAGAAAGCAGACAUCAUUGUCAGUGAGCUUCUAGGUUCUUCUGCUGACAAUGAACUGUCACCUGAGUGCCUGGAUGGAGCCCAGCAUUUCCUAAAAGAUGACGGUAUGAGCAUUCCUGGGGAAUACACCCCCUUUCUGGCUCCCAUCUCCUCCUCCAAGCUACACAAUGAGGUUUGAGCCUGUCGGGAAAAGGACCAUGACCCUGAGGCCCAGUUUGAGAUGCCUUAUGUGGUACGGCUGCACAACUUCCACUAGCUAUCUGCACCCCAGCCUUGUUUCACCUUCAGCCAUCCCAACAGAGAUCCUAUGAUUGACGACAACCGCUACUGUACCUUGGAGUUUCCUCCUGGAGGUGAACACAGUGCUGCAUGGCUUUGCAGACUACUUUGAGACUGUGCUUUAUCAGGACAUAACUCUGAGUAUCUGUCCAGAGACUCACUCUCCUGGGAUGUUCUCAAUGGUUUCCCAUCCUCUUCCCUAUUAAGGUCGCUCAUAUACCAUUGGCCUCUAGUUCUGCAUGCAAGUGUCCAGAGCCUUAG